GGGGAGCUGGCGCAACGGUAGCGCGUCAGAUUCCAGUGGCUCUGGUGUCCUCCGAAGAUUAUCAGCCGGGAAUUCCUGAAGGUUAUCGGUUCAAAUCCGGUGUUCCUCA